rnacentral:rRNA from 1 species
CUUUAAUUAAAUUAAAUGUUUUAGUACGAAAGGACCAAGUAUUUGUUAUAAUAAUUUUAUUAGAA